rnacentral:rRNA from 1 species
AGUGAACGCUGGCGGUAGGCCUAACACAUGCAAGUCGAACGGCAGCACAGUAAGAGCUUGCCUUUACGGGUGGCGAGUGGCGGACGGGUGAGGCAUACAUCGGAAUCCACUUUUUCGUGGGGGAUAACGUGGGGAAACUUACGCUAAUACAGCAUAUGAUCUACGGGUGAAUGCAGGGGAUCUUCGCACCUUGCGCGACUGAAUGAGCCGGUGUCGGAUUAGCUAGUUGGGGGGGUAAAGGCCCACCAAGGCGACGAUCCGUAGCUGAUCUGAGAGGAUGAUCAGCCACACUGGAACUGAGACACGGUCCAGACUCCUACGGGAGGCAGCAGUGGGGAAUAUUGGACAAUGGGCGCAAGCCUGAUCCAGCCAUACCGCGUGAGUGAUGAAGGCCUUCGGGUUGUAAAGCCCUUUUAUUGGGAAAGAAAAACAGCAUAUUAAUACCCCGCUGUUCUGACGGUACCCAAAGAAUAAGCACCGGCUAACUUCGUG